UUCCUUUUGUCAAUUACUAUUUGUAGCCACAAAAGUAAAAGUUGUCAUCUGGACAUCUUUAAUCAAAUAGCGACCAAUUAUUUUCUCUCUAACAAGGACUAUUUUAGAGUCCUUUGUUACUUCAAACCUUCCUCCACCACCAGAAUAUUCACAUCUAAUAGCAUCCAACAUACCCAAUGAAAUGAGAUUCAAUUCAAGUGUAGGCACAUGUCGCACAUUUCUUAGAUGUGUUAUGGAUCCAUCAAUAAUUUUGAGAGAAAUAGAUCCAAUGGCAACAAUUUUGUAGACAUUGUCAUUACCCAUAAGCACUUCUCCUCCACCCCAAGGUCUAUAGGUUGUAAACCAUUUUGUACAGCCAGAGUCCAGAAUCCAAUUUUGUGUUUCUUGGGAAGCUAAGGUUGAUGUGCUUUGUUUGGAUGUUGUUAAGGCCACAAAAGAAGUAUAAGGGCUCUAUUCUACCACUGAUGCCUUGGCCUUUACCUCUUCAGCCUAUACUCCUUUCUUACUUUUCUGAUUUAAAUUUUUCUUCAAGAAAAAAAUAGUCUUCUAUCAAGUGUCCUUUCUUAUGACAAAAAUUACAUUUGAGUUUGCUUUUAUCUUUCUAAUUUUUACUAUCUUUCUCUUAAUUCUUGUUCUUUCGUUUUCAUACAGACCUUCACCAUUAUUCUGGUCUUUCUUCUGAGCAAGAAUCUCAAGCUCUUUGAUUUUGAUGGUUGAAAUAACACUAUUAAUGGGAAACAAAUACAUCAUUCAAGAAAGGGAGUCUAAAAAACAAAACUAUGGAAAGAGUUACCAAGAGAAGGACGAAAAGGUAUUCAUCAUGUUGAAUGUUUUAGAAACUGAAGAAUCAAAACGAGGUAGAAGAUAGAGGAGAAAUACACAAAGACUUAAGUGGUUCGGUCAAGGUAAGACCUACAUCCACUGUGCAAUCAGGAGCCAAACUUUGUUAAUCAGAGAAGAAAAUUAUAGUAUAAUCAGAUAAGUUUUCUUGACCCAACUCUCUUAGCCUUAAAACUUUUAUAGAGAUAAAUAUACAGCUCUUUACAACUGAAAUACCAUAUUUUAGUUUAACAGAGAGUUUUGUUUUAAUAACUCUUCAAAAUCAAUACCCAAACACCCUCAAAAGCAUUUAAGAAUAGUGGCCCAACAAAUAAAAUAAUAUAGUACUAUAUGACGUAUCAAAUUGUGAGUGGAAAGAGUACGUGCAUAUGGGUGGUAAUGGUUCGUCUGUAAAUUUAUGGGGAAGAAGGUAGGCAAAGUGAAUAAAAACUAAGAAGCAUAUGAACUACAUCCAAACUCUAAGGACCAAAGAUAUGUUUUUCUCUAUAUUUAAUAAAAUGGGGAUACAUAGAAAUCUUUGUGUGGAAGUUCGAGUCUAUUUGAUAGAAGGAAAUGAGUUUCAACUCCAUGUAUUUGACAAAGUUUAUAUAUAUAGUGUAUAUAUACUAUGUAUACUGAAAAAAUCAAACCUCUAACCUCAACACCUCUGAUCACCCUUGCCAAAUCUGCUAUUUGGAUAAUCCUCCAUCACCUGUUUCUUCUUGAUUUUUCUUUCAUCUUGAGGUUUUGAAUUACAUGGUUUCUGGAAUUUCAAUCUGUCUUAGGUUAACUAAAAUUUAAUUUUUAGGGCAGUUUUUUCUGCAUCCUUCUACUAAUUUACCUUCAUUGGAGUACUCAAAUCCUAUGAGAAAGAAUGAGAAGGGAGUAGAAACAACAAGAGAGAAGAGGGAGAGACACAAAUACCUACAAAUAAACUUUAAUUUAAUAAAAUUAGGUGCCAAAAGAGUAUAAUUGAUCAAAUUGACGUGAUUAUAAUCACCCUAUAGUUUAGAGGUGGUUUUUAAAAAAAAAAAGUUUUCAUUUAAAAGGUAAUGGAGUGUAAAAAUAUAUCAAUUAGAAAACGGGUGAAUAUUUAAAAAUUGACAUGAUAGCUGAGUUUUUAUUUAAUUUUUUUAGUAUAAAAAAUUGAUUCUAUAUCAGAUUCGAAAUAUUGAUGUCGAUAGAAAUAUCAAGGUCUCGAUUUGGUGAAAAUAUCAAUAUCGAUGAAAAUUUUGGGAAACUUUAUGGAAAUUAAUGAGAAUUGUUGGAAAUUGUUAUGAUUAGUUACUGAAACUUUGAUUGUGGCUAAAUUAUACUAUAAUUGAUCAUUUUUAAUCAUCAUUUCUAUAAAAUAAGAUAGCUUUUAGAUGCAUAUUGUAAAGUAUAUAUAUAAAUGUUGAUGCGGGAGUAUAAAUUUAAAAAGAAAAUGAAAAAAUAAUUACAAAAUUUAAGGACAUGAAAUAUUUUCAUACAAAAUAAUAUUAGAUUGUUUAUUAUAAAAUGAAAUGUACACAAAAAUAAAAAGUCACAACGUUAAACUUGCAUGACAUGACAUAACAUUAUAAAGAUGUAAAAACCAUAACAUUAAACAUAAAAGAGAUACAAAAAACAUAAGAUUAAAUAUAACACAACAAUGGAAAAAGAAAAAGAUAACUCUACAAGUAGAUAGAGUUUAAGAGAAAACAAGAUAAAUACAAGAAAACUCACAUCAAUUCAAGUUUGAGGUGAAAUGAUGUAAAACUUUAAUGAAAAGAAUGUUGGAAUUUAUGCCCUAAAUCUUGUAGUCUGUAAAUUAUAAACAAAUUAUUGAAUAAAUAGAAUAUUAUUUAUUUUGAAAUAAAUAAGGUGUUCUUUAUUAUUUGCAUAACUCAAAUCCAAUAAACUAAAACUAAGAUCCAAGGUUGUUUAUUGUAACUUGAACAGUAUGUGGUUGACAAAUAAGUAGAUUAUGUUGAAGUAAUAACCUAAAAAGUCUAUAAUAUAUGGAUAAGAUUGGGUGUCUUAUUCUGGUAAACACUAUGAAUAUAACCUGCUUUGUAACUGUUACAAAUAUUAUAAGUGUUACAAACGAUUUGAUCAAAAUCGUUCAUGUGGAGACAUGUGAGUAGGGCUAUCCUAUACAAUGAGUUUGUAUAAGGCCGGAUCACAAAAUAUAUAAUCUCUCUUUGUAACACCAUUAAUUGAAGAGAUUAAUAUUUUAAACGAUAAUCAUGUAACUCGAUCUCAAUCUGAGUGAGUUAUGAACUCCUGCUUAUGAGGAUAGUUCUUUGAUUUGUAUGGGUAAGAGUGACCUUAGUUGUCGACUCAAUAGGCCUACCAUUUUAGGAACGAUCAGAGUUAGGAGUUGGAAACAUAACUUCACAAGAUAGAAUUAACUCCUUCCUACCUUUAGGUAAGUAAAUGAUUUAUUCCCUUAAGUGGUAACUCCGGGACUUGAACAAUGAGACACCAUUCUUUCACUGGCCCAAGAAAAAUUUGAUUUAUGGUAUGAUCAUAAAUAGAUUGUUCAUUAAAAGACCAGUAGUACGCAAGGAGCAAGAGGUAAUUACAUGGGCAAAAUGAUAAUUACAAACUCAUAUUUAUUUUAUUAGAGAAUAAUUCUCUGUAAAAGAUGAUUCUCUUCCCAACCACACUAGGAUCCCACAAUCCUCCUUUAUUCUAAGAGGGUAGCAAAGAAGACCUUUGGUCAUGUUCCUGUUGUGAACAUGUUGUGUUUUAUUUAGAAAACUAAGAGAAGAUCUUUGAUGUUUUGAUCUAUAGAGGUAGUUAACUUUCUUCCCUAUCUUAUAGAGAAGCAUGCUUAACACUGGACUCGUAUGUUUGUGCUAUAUAAUAAUUCCUACAACAAAAUUGGGACAAAAUCGAUCACAUGCUUCUACAGGAAUUUGAUUCCUUCAAAGAAAAGUUUGAGUGAAGUAAAAAAUAAAUACGUGGUUUCUUAGGUAAUAAAAAAUUUUUUAGGGUAAAAUAGAAAAACUUUCAUUGAACUAGCAUAGUUAAAAGAAAAAAAAAAAAACAAACAAACAAACAAUAUUUUGGUGGAAAGAUCGAAAUUUCGAUAAAAAUUUUGAAAAUUCAAGAAAUUAAAAAACAUGAAAUUCUCUCUGACCCGAAUUUCGAUAUUUUGACCGAAAUUUUCUACUAUGGUUCUAUGGUCUAUAUCGUACAUCGAAUAAGCUUUACUUUUAGGCCCUGCUCAAUUUUUAUUGAUAUUCCUGUGUUUUUGAAAGAUUUUUACUUCUUUUUUACAAACAACUAAAUAGAUAAAUUUAGCAACAAUAAAAAAAAUGAACAAAAGGUAAAAGUUCAAAAUUCAAUUUGAAACAUCAAGUCAAAAUUAGGUGAUAGGAACCUCCUUUUAAGGCAUCAAAUUAUUUUUUAUAUUUUAUUUAAUAAUUUUGAUGUAAUUUAAGUAUUUUUCAAUUUUAUUCUUUGUAUCACAUUUUAAGUAGUAUUUUUGUAAUUUUAUUAUAAAUCAUGAUGUAACAUUAGAGUUUUCUCGGGAGGCUCUUUUAGGUUGUUUGGAGAAGUUUUACGAUAAAUUGAAUUUUGUCCUUAGUGCUUUCUCUUUUAAGUUUAGCUAGAGAGCUUCUUGAAUUUUACAAUUCAUAUAUGUUGAGUUGUAUGCGAAAGAUAUUCAAAUGGGAUUGACCAUCCUAUAUUGUAGAGUAUUCAAAUCUUGUGCCAAAAACCUUGUUUUUUGUCUCAAAAUAUUUGAUUUUAAGGUAACCCAUGUCUAACCCAAUUCUUAGUGUUGAAAUCGAGUUGAUUUAGGGAUUUUAGUAUCAAGAAUCAAGGAUUCUCAUUCCAAAAGAGUUUCUAAUUCCAAUUUGCUAGAAUUUUUAUAUCAUUAGGGUAUGGAUUGAUUUUUUUCCAAAGGGAAAAAAAUACAAAUAUUGUUAUUCUAAAUGAAUUUAUGAAGGAAGGCACUUAUCAAGAAUGUCCCCCCCCCCCCCAUCGGCCCACAAUUUUGAUGUUGACAAAAUUUUGGACCUAGGGAAAAGUUCAAUGGACAAUAGCAAAUUGUAGGCCAGUUAGAUUAUUGCUUCAUUUGUUUGUUUUCAAAUAUCAUAAAAUACCUAAGCAUUGGAGAAACUAUUUUUUCCUUUUUUUUUUUUUUCUUAAUCU